AUUAUGUAAACUUCAACAUUUCAAUGCAGAACAUUCAGUCAACAAACAUUCGAAUGCCGUAAGCAAAUAUAAGUUACCAUUGAACAUGGGAAACAGAUAGUUUAAGUGAUAUUAAUCGGCUUCAUAAUGGGCAGAUGGACGUUAUCCGAACCUUAUGCUGUAUCACCAACAUUUCAAUAUGGUAAAUUAGUUCACAAAUUGUUAAGAAGAUAUCGGCACCAGCUGUUAAAGGGCUACCAAACUACAUCGAGGGAAAUAUGUAUUGCAAAACUACAGUCUAUCGGUCAGGUUACACAUGGCGCAUUCAACAGUGAAAGAAGAAUUGCGUACCUGUGUACGAUGUGUAGUAUGUUUGUAUACUAUAUUAUAUUUAGUAACUACGCAGUGUCAUUCACCUGAUCACCGAGUAAACCUUCUCAACAUUGCCAUCGACAAGAUACCAGUAACCUUUAUGCCUACCUAACAGUUGACGAACAUUAUAAGCGUUAUAUUUCAUCCAUCAGUUGAAAUUGGUUGACUGUCAGAGAAACACUGAUUGACGGAUUUGAAGGAAGUGCCAACAUUAAACAAUCAGAAAAUAUAAACACAGUGAAAUUUGCAGCAAUGGGUUGCAAAAACUCUAAAGCAGUGAGUCCGGAUGCAGUAAGGAAGAAAAGAAUGAAAGCUAAAUUCAGUGAUGAAGAUUUCAACGACCCAAUGUUCUUCGUGGGUCAGGUAGUACCCGAUGAGUACCAAGGCUCGGACGUAAAGCUACUGAAUAAGUUCUCGGACGCCUCGCGGAGUUCAUUACGCUCCGACGCUGGAGAAUCCGACGCAAGUUGGUUUAGCGAUAACAGUUCUAUCAUGAAUAUUGAAUACUGCGACUAUGUAUAUCCUUUCGAGAAUAUUGUGUUUGAAGGCGGUGGAAAUAAAGGCAUUGCUUAUGCUGGUGCCAUUAAGGUUAGUAAGC